CGGGACGUGGCGCAGCUUGGUAGCGCGCAGCGUUCGGGACGCUGAGGUCGCGGGUUCGAAUCCCGCCGUCCCGA
rnacentral:tRNA from 1 species